AUAGAACAGUAAGUAUUUAUGAAUCAUAGAGAGUAGCUUCUUAAUGAAUUUUACCAAAGAAUUCAAGGCGCGAAAUAGGCUCACAUAUUCGAUCAUAAUCUUAACAAGACCGGCCCGUAAACAGAUUCCCAGAUCAAACAACUAUCUAUGAUUAAUCUUGGAACUAUCUCUAAGCACACACGCAUACGAUUAUCAACCUUGAUUAAUAUGUAACAAGGUUGAAAACAGUUUUGAGGACAGUGAAAAUUUUUCCAGUAAGAGGUUGGAGGUACGAAGGGCAGGGCGUUUCAGAGCAUCGCGUUUACACUUUCAGACUUCAGUACGCUUUCGGAUGCCGCGCGUAACGGAUGUGUGUCGCUUGAACGAAUUUUCACACGUGCGUAAUAAAAAAAUAUUGGAAAUUAAAUCAGUUUGUGUUAAUUGUAAAUUAUUGUUUAUUUAGUAGUGAUUAUUUUUGGCCGAGUUUACAUUUUUUUUAAUUUUUCAACUGAUUUAUGUGUGAUUAUUUGGUUUCCUUAGUACAGUGGUGCGUUUUUGACGUUUAUGACUGGCUUUUGGGCGGAUUUUAAGUGAUUUUCGCGUUUUAUCAGAUUUUAUGCUGGUAUUAUGGACAAGAAAUCACUUUAACAGGUA
rnacentral:lncRNA from 1 species